GAUGAACGCUGGCGGCGUGCCUAAUACAUGCAAGUCGAGCGAACAGAUAAGGAGCUUGCUCCUUUGACGUUAGCGGCGGACGGGUGAGUAACACGUGGGUAACCUACCUAUAAGACUGGAAUAACUCCGGGAAACCGGGGCUAAUGCCGGAUAACAUUUAGAACCGCAUGGUUCUAAAGUGAAAGAUGGUUUUGCUAUCACUUAUAGAUGGACCCGCGCCGUAUUAGCUAGUUGGUAAGGUAACGGCUUACCAAGGCAACGAUACGUAGCCGACCUGAGAGGGUGAUCGGCCACACUGGAACUGAGACACGGUCCAGACUCCUACGGGAGGCAGCAGUAGGGAAUCUUCCGCAAUGGGCGAAAGCCUGACGGAGCAACGCCGCAUGAGUGAUGAAGGUCUUCGGAUCGUAAAACUCUGUUAUUAGGGAAGAACAAAUGUGUAAGUAACUGUGCACGUCUUGACGGUACCUAAUCAGAAAGCCACGGCUAACUACGUG
rnacentral:rRNA from 1 species